UACGUAGGGUGCAAGCGUUGUCCGGAAUUAUUGGGCGUAAAGAGCUCGUAGGCGGUCUGUCACGUCGGCUGUGAAAACCCGAGGCUCAACCUCGGGCCUGCAGUCGAUACGGGCAGACUAGAGUUCGGCAGGGGAGACUGGAGUUCCUGGUGUAGCGGUGAAAUGCGCAGAUAUCAGGAGGAACACCGGUGGCGAAGGCGGGGCUCUGGGCCGACACUGACGCUGAGGAGCGAAAGCGUGGGGAGCGAACAGG
rnacentral:rRNA from 1 species